AUUUUACUACUUCAUAUUAGUCACCAGUGCCGUCGUUAUUUCGUUAAUUUGUUGUUGUUUUUAAUUUACUUUUGCAAACUGUAUUAUCAACGUUCUUAAAAACAGUUCUUUUCAGAGCUACGCUGUAAAUUCAAGAGUUUGUUGAAGUUCUUGAGGAUGCCCUUCACACAAGAACAAGAUGCCUUUAUUUUGAAGGCUCAUUUUGGAAGUGCUGUACGUAAUGAAGAUGGAACGUGGUCAUAUUCGUUCCGGUCCUGUCGAGAGCAAUUUAUGGAAGAGUAUCCCGAUGUUAUUAUUUCUUAUAAAGCAUUUGCCAAUCAUAAGACACGAAUUGUGGACCGAUUUGAAAACAAGAAUUGCAUUUGUAAAGAAAAACAUACCGGUCGUCCAUUACUACGAAACGAUGAAGUGGUCCAAGAUGUCAGACAACGAAUGGAGGCGAGUCCCAAAAAGUCAAUCCGUCAGUUAAGUGCCCAAGCUGGAGUGUCUUAUUCAACAUGCCAACGAAUUUUACAUAAAGAUCUACGUAUGCACCCGUACCGGGUUUCUGUUUUGCAACAACUCCAUGGUCUUGAUUAUGAGAAUCGACGUAAUUAUUGUGAUUGGUUUACUAACAAUUUAAAUAACAACGACGUUUUAAAUGUAACUUUUAUGACUGAUGAAGCAUGGUUUCAUCUAUCUGG